GUGAAAGUGUGUCGUUUAUUGUUUUACGUUACAUUAGACCGAUUUGUGGGAUUCAAAGCAGCAGUCGGACGUAAAUUUGUGGACAUGAAACCAAUAUUGGUACAGCUGCGCCGUGACUGGGGAUGUUUCCCUUGUCCGUUUUCUCCCAACACAGCAACGUUCCAAAUGCGUCGACCGAACGCUAAAACCGUAAAAGGUUGAGUUUCAGACAAUUUAAGGUAAGAUUAAGGUUACAUUUAUAUCAGUAUGUUAUAUAGUUGUAGUAACAGUUAAAGAUAAGUUGUCGACUUGCUA